GACGAACGCUGGCGGCGUGCUUAACACAUGCAAGUCGAACAGUGGCGAACGGGUGAGUAAUGUCUGGGAAACUGCCUGAUGGAGGGGGAUAACUACUGGAAACUGUAGCUAAUACCGCGUACCAUAGGAUGAGCCCAAGUGGGAUUAGGUAGUUGGUGAGGUAAAGGCUCACCAAGCCGACGAUCUCUAGCUGGUCUGAGAGGAUGACCAGCCACACUGGGACUGAGACACGGCCCAGACUCCUACGGGAGGCAGCAGUGGGGAAUAUUGCGCAAUGGGGGCAACCUGACGCAGCCAUGCCGCGUGAAGGAAGAAGGCCUUCGGGUUGUAAAGUUCUUUCGGUAGCGAGGCGUUAACUACAGAAGAAGCACCGGCUAACUCCGUGCCAGCAGCCGCGGUAAUUC
rnacentral:rRNA from 1 species